UCGAUACUUAUUGUUAAUUCACUCGAAAAGUGAUUGUUCGUGAACAACAAGUUUAAUAAUUUGAGACUACGGUGUACGAAGACGGUUGAGAAAAGCUCCCUGAAACGAUUGGUCCACCUGUUGGCCAACGAGAAGGCAGACCAGUGCUCCGCCCGCGCAACAGAACCGCCCUCCAUUUUCCGCUUCUAUCUCUUCGAAUCUGUGUAUCAUCGUUUUAUCCCGAAAUCAACGUCGAUUAUCUGGAAAUUUUGCCAAUGAUGUCAGUUUUCAACUGAAACUACGCGUCAUCGCGAAUCGUCGGUUCAUUCAAUACAAAAUGUCGGACUUCCACCAUUACAAGGGAUCAGAGAUACAAUUUUUGAUACAGGAAACGGAAAUUCUGUAACGUAGCCUCGAAGGAGCAAUUAUUUAAUGUCAUCCAACGUCCGUUCGACGAUAUCAUGUGCCCUGCGCUCCUUAGCCUACGAAUUCUCAAGAAGUUUGUUUGCCUUACAGCGAACGAUCCGACGAAAGAGAAGCGUCACGGCCAUCUUGUCUUUGCCUUCGAGCUGAAUCCCUGCAACGGUUCCUCUGCUUCGAUUAACUCGUGGAUUUCUGAGGAAGAAAGAAAUAAAGUUUUUUGAGUACAAGACUCUUGUGGACCUCGUGCCUUAAGGGUUGAAAGUGAAGUGCUCGGAGACCACCCCUCUGGAGAUACGGCGCCCAACAGUGUUUACCAUUUUUACUGCUUCCAAGAUUUACCCGUGACGUUUUCUGCGACAGUUUCAAGUGGUCCUUGAAAAAAACUAAUUGAGUCCUAAAUGUCCAGGGAGGAAGCUGCAGCGAACGUCUCUGCUCUGAAACCACAACGUGUCAUCUUUUCAUAUCAUUCUGUUUAUACCAUUUUGUUCUAUUCAUGCAAUUCUGUUUGUACAAUUCUAGUCAU